rnacentral:rRNA from 1 species
GAUGAACGCUGGCGGCGUGCCUAAUACAUGCAAGUCGAACGGUAAGGCCUCUUCGGAGGUACACGAGUGGCGGACGGCUGAGUAGCGCGUAGGAAUGUACCCCAAAGUGAGGAAUAACCUCGAGAAAUCGAGGCUAAUACCGCAUGUGCUCUAAGGAGUAAAGCUUUAUGCGCUUUGGGAACAGCCUGCGUAAGAUUAGCUUGUUGGUGAGGUAAUGGCUCACCAAGGCGACGAUCUUUAGCUGGUCUGAGAGGAUGAUCAGCCAGACUGGGACUGAGACACGGCCCAGACUCCUACGGGAGGCAGCAGUAGGGAAUUUUCCACAAUGGACGAAAGUCUGAUGGAGCAACGCCGCGUGCAGGAUGAAUGCCCUUGGGUUGUAAACUGCUUUUAUAUGUGAAGAUAAUGACGGUAGCAUAUGAAUAAGGAUCGGCUAACUCCGUGCCAGCCGCCGCAGUAA